GUCUGGAUAGCUCAGUGGUCUAGAGCAGUUGCCUGGAAAGCGAAAGACUCGGAUAUUCGGGAUUCCCGAUCCAGCUA
rnacentral:tRNA from 1 species